rnacentral:rRNA from 1 species
GGAGAGCAUGCCUGUUUCAGUGUCAU